GGGUCAGUAGGUUGGUCGUGCCACCGGUACGUACUGGUCUCACUGAUUCCUCCUUCCUGAAGAACCGUAAUGCCAUUAAUUUGGUGUUGCGGGGAAACAGGACUGUUACUUUGAAAAAAUUAGAGUGUUUAAAGCAAGCUAACGCUUGAAUGCAUUAGCAUGGAAUAAUGAAAUAGGACGAUCGAUCCUAUUUUGUUGGUUUCUAGGAUUGACGUAAUGAUUAAUAGGGAUAUUGGG
rnacentral:rRNA from 1 species